rnacentral:rRNA from 1 species
CAGCAGCCGCGGGAAUACGUAGGUGGCAAGCGUUGUCCGGAAUUAUUGGGCGUAAAGGGCUCGCAGGCGGUUUCUUAAGUCUGAUGUGAAAGCCCCCGGCUCAACCGGGGAGGGUCAUUGGAAACUGGGAAACUUGAGUGCAGAAGAGGAGAGUGGAAUUCCACGUGUAGCGGUGAAAUGCGUAGAGAUGUGGAGGAACACCAGUGGCGAAGGCGACUCUCUGGUCUGUAACUGACGCUGAGGAGCGAAAGCGUGGGGAGCGAAUAGGAUUAGAUACCCCAGUAGUCCCUGUCUCUUAUAA